AUUGAACGCUGGCGGCGUGCCUAAUACAUGCAAGUCGAACGCAGUGGGGACGGGUGAUUAACACGUGGGUAACCUCCCAUCAGAGGGGAUAACACUUGGCAACAGGUGCUAAACCGAUAUUGAUGGAUCGACCCGCGGUGCAUUAGCUAGUUGGUGAGGUAACGGCUCACCAAGGCCACGAUGCAUAGCAGACCUGAGAGGGUGAUCGGCCACACUGGGACUGAGACACGGCCCAGACUCAGACGGGAGGCAGCAGUAGGGAAUAUUCGGCAAUGGACGAAAGUCUGACCGAGCAACGCCGCGUGAGUGAAGAAGGUUUUAGGAUCGUAAAAAACUGUUGUUAGAGAAGCGGUAUCUAACCAGAAAGCAACGGCUAACGACGUGCCAGCGGCCGCGGUGAUAC
rnacentral:rRNA from 1 species